rnacentral:tRNA from 1 species
GAAGGUAUAGCUCAAGUGGUAGAGAGCAUGCUUAGCAUGCACAAGGUCCUGGGUUCAAUCCCCAGUACCUCCU